AGUUCGGAUCGCAGGCUGCAACCCGCCUGCGUGAAGUUGGAAUCGCUAGUAAUCGCGGAUCAGCAUGCCGCGGUGAAUACGUUCCCGGGCCUUGUACACACCGCCCGUCACACCAUGAGAGUCGGGAACACCCGAAGUCCGUAGCCUAACCGCAAGGGGGGCGCGGCCGAAGGUGGGUUCGAUAAUUGGGGUGAAGUCGUAACAAGGUAAC
rnacentral:rRNA from 1 species